rnacentral:sRNA from 1 species
AUAAAAAUAGAAGAAAAUCUUUUAAAAC